rnacentral:rRNA from 1 species
GAUGAACGCUGGCGGCGUGCCUAAUACAUGCAAGUCGAGCGAACGGACGAGAAGCUUGCUUCUCUGAUGUUAGCGGCGGACGGGUGAGUAACACGUGGAUAACCUACCUACAAGACUGGGAUAACUUCGGGAAACCGGAGCUAAUACCGGAUGAUAUUUUGAACCGCAUGGUUCAAAAGUGAAAGACGGUCUUGCUGUCACUUAUAGAUGGAUCCGCGCUGCAUUAGCUAGUUGGUAAGGUAACGGCUUACCAAGGCAACGAUGCAUAGCCGACCUGAGAGGGUGAUAGGCCACACUGGAACUGAGACACGGUCCAGACUCCUACGGGAGGCAGCAGUAGGGAAUCUUCCGCAAUGGGCGAAAGCCUGACGGAGCAACGCCGCGUGAGUGAUGAAGGUAUUCGGAUCGUAAAACUCUGUUAUUAGGGAAGAACAUAUGUGUAAGUAACUGUGCACAUCUUGACGGUACCUAAUCAGAAAGCCACGGCUAACUACGUG